CUUUGUGUAAACAUAGGCUAAAUAUCCCCGUUUUCAAGCUGAUUUUUCAAUCUGUUAAUGAUAAACAGUUCCUAGCACUUUUUCAAUUUUAUGCCUAUACUUGGAAUUUUCUUUUCGACAUUUAAAAUGUAAAUAAAACAUGACCUGGGCUUUGUUUACAUUAUUAAUUAUUGUGAGCUCUGUUGUUUUUUCGAUUAUAACUUGAUGACUGGCCCCCAAAUGUUGGUUGACAAUUCAAAAUUUCUUACUAAAGUAUUGUAACACUAAAAUCGGUAAAAAAUAUUGACCAAAAUCGCGACCAUGCCAAUAUAAAAUAUACGACAUUUUAAGCAUAAUAUACCUUUUGGGAGUUAGUAUUAUAAAUGAGAGCAUGCUUGUUUAACGUCCAUUUUUUUAAUCUGAUCAAAGUUUAAUUAAAGAAUUCAUGCGAUUUCCUCUGAUUCAUUUCAAAGGCCAUACACAGGAUGAUAAACAGUUCAGUGGUUUUGUUACACAACAACUAAAGUGUAGUAUUCGGAGAAGGAAGACUUCUACUAGUUUUGGUCUGUGGUACCUGAUACAUCAGAAGCAUUAUACAGCAGCCAUUGUAUGCAUCGUACCUCUGGCUUGCAUAUUGGUACUCAAGCAGGAGGCAUCGUAGGGUGCCAACUAUGUGCUAAAGGAUGAUUAAUAUGUUCUCUCAUUAAGCUUUAAACAAAGAACAACAAAGGAAUGAGGUAGAAAAUUUGCGUAAAAAAGUCACAUGUGUUAUUUGUGACACAAAUCGACGAGAAAUUGUUUUUAUUCCAUGUGAACACCUCGCCCUUUGUUGCUCAUGUGACAAAGAGAAUAAAUCUGCCAUUUGUGUAAUUUGCAAAAAACUUGUUACAGAUCGAAAAAGGGUCAGAAUGACGAAAUUACCGAGAAUAAGUUGAGAUUUGUGAUGUUGAUUAGUACGCAGAUAUUAAGGAUUGUGUUCACAACUUUUUGACAUUGCAAGGAACUCCUGAGAACAUUAUAUCAUUUAUAUGUAUAUAUUUAACAUUAAGAACAUAGUAUCCAUGUAAGUCAGAAUGCUAUGUUAAUAAAAUAAUCUAUAAAAGA